UCAAAGUAGCUCAGGAGCACGAGAUCUGGAAAGGCAAACAAAUCUGACACGAUCCAAGCAACUGCACAACUGACUCUGGAGAAAGUCUUGUGACAGGUGCAGGUCCCCUGGAAGUUGAUUCAAGGACUAACUAUAGCAGAAAUACUGAGUGAACAGGAUAAGUUUAUUUGGUCACCAGAAAAUACAGGGCCUAAGUUACAAGUACUUUAAAGACAGUGACUGGCCUGUGACAGGGCACUGAUGCAAUUUAUUUGGACUUGCUUGUAAAGUAAGACUUCAUAGCAGUAAAAAAAGAAUAUGAACAAUGAAAACAACAUGGAGAUAGCAGCAAGAACAGUUCUAGAUUAAGGGCAAAAACCAGAAUUCUGCCAAUAUGGAAAAAGGAAGUUGUGUGCGAAUUAGCAGCUGGUGCACGACUGGGAAACGUUAGGGUGAAAAAGGUAUUGAAUGAUUCAUUCAUUUCCUUUGGCAUUUGUUAAUAAAUUCAGUUUAAGUGCUAUGAAAUGACAACCCAAACAUCCUAAAGGAAGUACUCUCGGAUGUCAAAGCGCACUUUAAGGAAGCCUGAGAUUUGCCGGACACUGCUUUAAAAGCUGAACAACAGCCACCAGGAAUGUGAUUCAUGGAUCUGCUGUAUUACGAAAAGCUACAAAAAGAGCAGUGCUGCUGCUAUUUCUCUACUGCUUUCAAGUGCACCCCAGCCACACCUUUACCAGUGUAGCAAAUUCCAGUGUAAGCUUCUUCCUCAAGCCAGCAGCACGGCUUGGACACUCUGACAGCCUUUAACCCGCCUGGAUGCAGAGCUGAUAAUCCCAAAUUUUAACUGCAGAGCCUUUCCGGUUUUUUCACUCAAACUGGAUGUUCACAAUGGCCCCUUCUGAGCACACAUUGUAUGAAUCCUCUCCCUCCAGACAGCCACUUCCCCUCUGUCCGGGUGGGUAAUGAGUCACCCACCUCCGUGAAUCAGCAGAACAUGCUUAACCCCUUCCCAGAAGCACCAACAGCUGCACAUUGGGUGGUGUUUCAAACAAAUGUUAUUGCCAAUGAUACAGAGCAAGUUGGAAAAGUCUGGAGAUGGCUAGGUGUAAGAGAUUAGUAAGGCCAUAUUGUUCCAUCAGAUAGAAAAAUAAGAAAAAUGAGGACUUUCUCUUGGCCAAAACUCCUCUCAGUAUUUCCUGUUUCAGCUUCAGGAAGCCGUGAGCUCCCUUCACUAAUUAUAUAUGAUGAGAAACAAAUGCCAUCAUAAACAGUAUACGUGCACUUCAAUGAGUGCGUUCUCCAGACACCAUUAUUGUACCUAUUUGGUUUGGCAUACGGAAUAAUAUUUGUUCAAAGGCUCACAUGAGUACACUUCAGUUGCCUGAGAAUGGUGUAACUGUGGUCAGAUGACAUGAUUCAGUUUGAGCCUUUGCCCAGCAAGCUCCUAUAUGUAACAGAUCAGUGACUGGAGCACAUGAGCAGCACACCACCCAAGGAGCCAAAUGGAAAGCAGCCUCAUCCCACACUCUGAAGGUGUAAUGAAACACUGACUCCGUAAUCCUUGGUUGGCAAGGGCAGCAGUAGAGUCAUUGUGGCAGCCUCAGUCAGAACAGUGAGAGCUGGGCAACAAUUCAGAGCUGCCACUCAACUCCAAACAAUACUGGGUUCACUAUGAACUCCCAUAUAAGAGUGCUGUGGGAUGGCUGUUUCUACCAUUUGCAAAGAGUACACUGGGACAUUUAUUUCCUCCUCACCCCACAUGGAGCAGCUCCUACAUGACUGAGUCACCAGGUCUGCAGAUGUAUACGUGCAGCUGUUUGAUGCUGUAAAUCACGUCCCUCCCUGCAAGAACUUAACUCAGCUUUUCACAUCAUUUUCCUCUGUAAGACUGUCUCCAAACUCAGUUUUUUCACUGUGGAGUAUUAUUGUGUAAAAAAAAAUAGACGUGAACCAAAUGCGUACUGCGAUAAAGUAGCUUAUUUUUCAUCAACAAAGGAAACCUGAAAUCACACAUCUAUGUGGGAUCCCACUCAAACUGCAGAAAACUCCAUUCAAGAGCCAAACCUCAGCUUGUACAGAGAGCACUGAGCAUGACGGGCAGUUGGGACUGCAGGAACUGAGCAAAGAGCCAUCAGCUACCAGGAGUGAACAUCAGUCUGCCAUCAACACCAGCACCUUCAUUACUCAAUCAGAAUGACCAGCUCUCUGUCACAGCUGAACCCUACUGCCAAAGGACAGCACAGGAGAUUUCCAACUUAAAGACAUAGGGAGUUCACAAUCUCCUGGAUCUGAGAUAUCUUUCAGAUAUUCUCCAUCUCUGCAAUUCUCCAUUACAGCAAAGAACAGGGAAAUGACACACACUACCAAUGCCGUGGGGAAACAAAAUGCUUUAAAUCACUUGGGGAGACAGAAUCAGACCUGUGGGGCUCCUCUGUCACUUGUACAUUAAAAAAAAAAAAAAAAAAGUAGAUUAUGCCUUAAACUGCUGGUAUUAAGGACAGAGUAUCAGAGUAUCACUCAAGCAGAAGCACAGAAGUCACCCAUCUGUACUUCUUCCACAGACUGAACAGAAGUUUCUGGGGCCAUAAGGAGGCGGGUGUGUAGCGGAGCAGUUAUCAGAGCAGGAACAACACACAAAGCUCACAAGCCCUAUCUUUUGCCUUUCACCAGGAAGUAUCAGUUCAUUUCCUUAUUGCCAAUUGCCUGGGCAUCACAUUUCAGCUUCUUGGGAAACCAGAACAAUUAAGGGAGGAGCAACUCCCCCGAAACUCGGGAGGUGCUGCACACUUACAUAUCCGUAUCUGAACAGCUUAAAUAAGGUUUAGAGAGAGGCGACCUUUGAUUUAAUGCUCAUGUAGUCAAUGCUCUGAAUCAUUCCUUAAGUGAACAGUAAUAAAAACCCCUCCAGCAAAUUAAAGAGCAAUGUGAAAGGCAAACUAAAACAAAGCAUAACCUCCUUAACAGGUUUGUGUGUGUUUUUCAAACAAUUGAACAUCACCGACAGUGAAUAUGCAGAACAACUUCAGAGCCCAACAGCCUGAACCCAGCACAGAGCUGCCAGCUGCAUUUUUGACCAAAAUAGCAUCCCUGGUGUGUGCCCAAAGCCCAUCAAAGACUGCUUGGCCUUUCCUGUCUGCUUUCAGUUGGAAGGGCAGAUGGUUUCCUGGACAUCUGAUGACCAUUUCUACAUUUGAGCUCCUGUUACUGGCCCAGGUUGUGACACCUCUCCUGCUCACACUGUGACCAAACAGCUGCCUCUUGGGAACGCUGAGUGCGUGCAGCCACCAAGUCAAACAGAGGAAGAAAUGUGAGGCUGCAGCUCUGUCCUCAAUGGCACAUGAGAACUUCAAAAGUCACAGCAGGAUCAGGAGGUUCCUGCAUAAUCCCUUUUAAAAUGAGUUUGCAAGGGCAUAGGCAAAUAUCUCCCCUCUAUCUGAUUCAGGAGGCACUGGGGUGUUCCACACAGAGAGCAAGAACUUCGCUGUUUCCUGGAGAAGUUCCAGCAACAAAGUCUCCCCUGGACCAAACCCCCACUCCCCCCCUCACGCUGCACUCGGCGCUGCAGUCCCAUGAUCCCAUUGGUAGGGGAAGCACUUACUGUUGGGAGGUUUUUUCCUUCUCCUGCUCCAAGAAAUAAAAAACACAAGCUUGCAAAAAACCCCUCAGAACUCACAAUCCCAGAUGAGCCAUCUCCAUUACCUCCAUGACUGCUGAUGGUAUUUUUUAACCAUGUGUUCCAAAGACAACUGCUAGUAUUUUUACCUCUAGGACCACCCCCAGCCACCACUUAUUUUUACACCUUCAAUACACUUUGCCCAUUACCAUUUGUGUUUGUGCUUGAUAACCAUGUAAUGAUCCACAGCGUUCUUGUUUGCAAUUAGUGCUGCUUGGAGUGCAGAGGAAGCUGGUUCUAACGAAAUAAAUAACGAAACCCCAAAACACAGCAGAGAGAAAGACUGAGGAACAGCACUGAGCCCCUCAAGUAUCAGUGAUGGGUGCCUGCCAGCACAAGCAGCAGCAGGGCAAGCUCAGCUUGCUGCAGUACUGGGAAUCACUGGGAUGGAGGUAGGGAACUGCAGAUGGAGCAGUUCCUGUUUGCUGUGAUGGAGCAGAGUGGGACUGGUGAUUCCAUUUAGCAUGGAGAAGUGGGGCCUUUUCAACUUAUCCAUCAGAUAGAGCAUGGUGAAGCUACUGAGGCUGUUGCUUUUUGCAAACAGAGCUCACUUUGGGCCUAACCCACAUCAAACUCCAUGAUUGACUGCUUCCAGUGCACAGCUGAAAGUAUUCCUGACAAAACUGUGGGCUAAGGCAGCAAAAUGCGUCCCGAUGAGAUGUGAAAGGCUCUGGACCUUUCUCUGUAGCCACAAAAUACACUGCAAACACAACUUCUAUCUUCACACUCAUCAGAGAGCACAAAAAUGGGAUAACAAAUUUCAAAGUGUAACCAAAUUCAAUACACAAAAAAAAGAAAACAAUCCAGCUGGAAUAAACAUGAGGAAUCUGUUAUUUAUUUAAGCAAACAUAGCACUCUCCAUUUUCACAACCUUACCUUGUAUUAACUUUUAGCAAACUUUGCUAUGUCCCAUUGCUGAAAAGGUAGGAGGAAGGAGAAUGAGCAGUUGUCUGUUAAAUACUUUCAGAAAGAAUCAAAACAACGGCACAACUCAUCUGAGUGGUCAUGUACAACGUGACAUGAAGCACUGUAUGCUUAUACUUCUCACUUUUCAGUGUGCAAACAGACUGAAAUAAAAGGGGGGAAGCUGGGCAAAGAGGCAUCAUUACAAGGAGACUGCUAGGGCAUUCAGAAAGUUAUCAUUUAUUGGCUCAAGGGGCUUCUUCCAUCCCUUUUUAAUUAUUAAUACAAUCUCAAGAUGCCCUCAAGAUGGCAUAAAUUUCAGUGACUCCUACGAAAGGCCUUAAGACACUACUGGAACUGCAAAGUGAACAACAGCAUCCUAUGAACAAAUGGCAAAUUUGAGGGAAAAAACAAUGGCACAGAAGCAAGAAAGGUUGCAAACAGCUGUUUCACUAACCCAAAAAUGCUGAAGAAAAAUGAAACAAACAGCCAUGAGCUGCUGACCCGAGUUAUUACAAUGUGCAAAAUUAAACUUUUAGCAGACUGAAAAAAGCAAAGUACAAAAAAGAGCUUAUUUUUUAUUAGUAUUUUGUGAAUGUGUAUUGCAUUAGAACAAGUUCUUUGCUAUUUAAUUGUCAAAGAGCUUAUUUAGACCCAAAAGAGAAAAAGCCAUUAGGGCCAAGAAUUCAGAGGAACUAUGCACCUCUUAAAACUCAUCAGAGGCAAAUGAAGGGCCUUAUUGCUUUUAAUGGCCUCAUGCUGCCUCCCCUCCUGUUGCUUUUAACUACCUCUCAGCACCCAGGGCUCAAAUAUUUAAAUGUAACACGUUAAGAAAAGUCCAUAUUUAAAGCCUCCCCGUUCACUCAAUAAUGUUUGAAGUCAUACACGAAGCAUACAAGAUAAACGUUACAAACCUGACACACAACCGAGAUGGAGCUUUAAGAGAUGCUUCGGAUGCAGCUUGCCACACUGCAUGGCUGGUGUGCUCAUUUCCAUCACAACUGAAAAACAUUUAUAUGCCACUGAUGUUCAAUGAAAACAGCUGGAGAUGGAUGAGGGAACGGUCAGAUGAGAGAUACCAAAAUGUCAGACAGCCUACCGACUGUUGUUGCCAUGAGAUCCAACAGUCAACAUCAGUCUGAUAAGCUAUCCGACAGGAUGGUACAGCCAUGGGGAUGUCACGACGGCUGGCAACACAGGAGGACAUUCAUGCAGGAUUGAACAAAAUCCUGAUUCUCACACCUUGCUCAUGAUCUGCCCUAACCUAACGCAGGCAUGAAUAUACAACCCAAACAAGAGCAAAAUCAAGCCUGCCUCGUGCUUGUGUGCCACCUGUUGAUAAUGCUAACUGAAAGUCAAAUUAAUUCCUAAUCCCCCCUAGGCUAAAAAUCAAAAACAACAGUUCUAAAAUCACAGGAGUAGUAAUACAUAUACAGCAGCAGUGGUGUGGCUGUCUGUUUUCAAAAGAGGGAAGAGAUCUGUUCUAAUAUGGAUUACGUUCACAUACAUUAAAAUCAGAACACUGACUUAAAGCAAUAUUUUAUAAGCGUCUGAAUUUUCAAGCCCGAGUGUGAGGUUCUCUAUGGCUCCACAUACAAUUGCUGGGUUUGACACCAAUUCUCUGUGCUAAUCUGGAAUCUUUAUACUUCCCCCUUCUCUUCUCCUUCACAGCUCAUGAUGUUGUGAUCAGUGGCAAACAUCAACCAAGAAUUCAUGCUAACAAUCAUAGCUAAACUCGCCUAUUUUAAGCAGUGAGCCACACUUCACUCAGUGAUACACCUUCUACUUUGUUCUGAUAAGAAGUUCUUAAGAAAAAGGGAAAAAAGAAUCAAGGGUGCUUUCAGCACCAUUUGUGCAGGAAGGAUGAGUAAAGCAUGCAACCCAUGGGCUUAAGGCUUAAUAAAGACGAAACUCAGCAUACAAAAGGGGAAGGGAAAAGAAACAGCUUAAAAAGACUGACACAAGAAAUUCUGGAAUGAUCAAAGAUGACUUUAUAAAGUUUUAUCUUAACUUCAUUCUAAAUAUACAGAAUAAAAAAAUGUCAGCUUCAGCAUUUUGACAUCAAUCAUCUCUGCUAACAUCGUGACGAUUAAAGGGCGGCUUUUCCAACCAAGAGCACGUGCAAUGCAAUGGGACACCGGAGAAUUCAAAUGGAAUAACCUUACCACGAGGGACAUGCAACAGUUUUUAUC